rnacentral:rRNA from 1 species
UACGUAGGGGGCAAGCGUUGUCCGGAUUCAUUGGGCGUAAAGAGCGUGUAGGCGGCCAGGUAGGUCGGUUGUGAAAACUCGAGGCUCAACCUCGAGACGUCGGUUGAAACCGUUUGGCUAGAGUCCGGAAGAGGAGAGUGGAAUUCCCGGUGUAGCGGUGAAAUGCGCAGAUAUCGGGAAGAACACCCGUGGCGAAGGCGGCUCUCUGGGACGGUACUGACGCUGAGACGCGAAAGCGUGGGGAGCGAACAGG